CUGAACACAGUGGGCACUAUGAGUAUAUGAGAGGCUUUUAGUCUGUCUUGCAACCCAGAACGUUCUGGAAACUUUAGCAGUUGAUGGGCAGCAGUAAAUGUGUUGGCUUACUCCUUUGGGAAUCCAGUGCUGCAAGGAGAUGGAUGCUGUGAAGCUUGCCUGAGGAAAAGGCUGCAUUCUUUCUCCUGGGAAGACUGUUUGCUGAAGGUUCUCUGAGCAUGCAUUCUGAAAGCAAGGAACCUUGGUGAGAAGUGUGCCACUGGAGCCUAGCUGUGCAGGUGGGAAGAACCAGCCAGAAAUGUGCCAGUGCAAGAGGGACUUCCCAUGCACUAUUUAGUGGGCAGAGCUUGCUGCAGCUGAGGAAGUCAUGGAAUCGGCAUCGUGAAGUGAUGGAGGAAUGCAGAAGGCAUCGAGAAUUCAGGAGUACUGAGAUGCAAUGUCCUUCCUACGUAAUUUUCUGAAGAAAAAAAGUUUAAAUAGUUUCCUAUAUUUUGGGAAACUGUGAAACAAAGAUACAAUUAAAAAUCAGAAGUGGAACUGUGUAAAAUACUUCCACUGGCUUGGACAGAAACUGGAUCGUAUCAUGGUCACUGUUUAUGGCAUUCCUAUGACUGAAAUCUGGUGAGUAAGUAACAGGAAAAGAAAACAAGGGUUAGUUUUAGUGGAAGAAAAAUACCUUAAAAUUAUCUUAAUAAUUUUGUUUUUCCUUCUAGUGGCAAUUAGAUUCCUUAUUGUCCUUACACAAAUGAGGACCGACUCUUUCACUUUGAGAAUAGCUCCUACACGGAAUCUUUAGUAUGUGUGGUAACAUGACUGUUAGUUAUUAAGGCAAGCAUAGCAUUUAGGAUUGACUUGAAACUGUUUAGGAAGGUUAACAGCUUAGUGAACUAAUUCAGAAAAAAAAAAAAAAAAAUCUCAUUUAUCAGAGUCAAUUUUUGUAGCUUGACAUUUUAUGAUUUACUUCUAAGCUGCUAAAAGAGCUUAAGAAACCUUUUCCUUCUGAUUUCUCCAAUUUUUAUUUUAUUUAUUUAUUUUUUGGAAGUACCACUUAAUCCUGCCUUAAAUGUCUGCAAUUAAUAUUGAUGCAAACUUGGGUAUUGCCUAUGACAAACCUAAAGAUGAGAGAGAUUAGAAAUGAUUAUGUACUUCAUGGAACUGUUUAAAACAUGAUAACGUUAGUACAUCAUCCAAAGAAAUGAGAUAUUUUGUAUGGUUUUCUGGAAAAUAGAGCUGAUAGCAUGCAGUCAUUUUGAUGGGAGAGAGCUGAGGAUUUUUAGUAUUUUGCUAGCUAUAGAUGUGUUCCAAGUCAAUUGCAGAAACCGAAAAUUCCUUCUAUUUACUAUUCAGAGUCAGUUGGUAUUGAUGUUAAGGGUACUUAAGAUGUGCAGAAGCUUGAACUGUGGCUGAAUCCUUUAUGAAACCUCACAGGAGAAAACCAUUUACGGUGAAAGAAAAACUCGCUAAACAUUAAAAAAUACAAGCAACAAGAAAUGGGCAGUUUGCUGUGCAUGUGGGAUGAUAUGUGGAAACCUUGAGCUAUAUAGUAUGCUUAAGUCCCAUGUAUUGAAACAUAAAUGUGCUUUUGUAUGAACAUGUGCCAUAUAACCCUUGUAUAGUACUGACCACUAAACACGAGCAUGCUAAAGUUUACUAACAUUUCUUAAACUUAUUAUUACAGAGCUUCACCUAGGAAAAUACAGUGGUCUGUUAUUAGUGGUCAAAACAGAAAUGAGCUUCAGUUCUUUUGCUACUGUUAUUCCUUCAGAAACAGCU